ACGGAAGGCAGCAGUGAGGAAUAUUGGACAAUGGGGGCAACCCUGAUCCAGCCAAACCGCGUGAGGGAUGAAGGUCCUACGGAUCGUAAACCUCUUUUAUGUGGGAAUAAUUAUCAGUAUGUAUACUGAUUUGAAGGUACCACUUGAAUAAGCAUCGGCUAACUCCGUGCCAGCAGCCGCGGUAAUACGGAGGAUGCAGGCGUUAUCCGGAUUUAUUAGGUUUAAAGGGUGCGCAGGCGGGACGUUAAGUCGGCGGUGAAAUACCGUGGCCCAACCACGGGGCUGCCGUCGAUACUGACGACCUAGAGUGCGCGUGACGUAGGCGGAAUGUGGAGUGUAGCGGUGAAAUGCUUAGAUAUUCCACAGAACACCGAUUGCGAAGGCAGCCUACGAACGCGUAACUGACGCUCAUGCACGAAAGCGCGGGUAGCGAACAGGAUUAGAUACCCUGGUA
rnacentral:rRNA from 1 species